GUUAUAUGGUCAAGUGACUAAGCGUAUACGGUGGAUGCCUUGGCAGUCAGAGGCGAUGAAGGACGUUGGAGCUUGCGAAAAGUCUCGGGGAGGUAGCAACCAACCUUUGAUCCGGGAAUGUCCGAAUGGGGAAACCCACCUGGUGUAAGCCAGGUACCUUUAACUGAAUACAUAGGUUAAAGGGGCGAACGAGGGGAACUGAAACAUCUAAGUACCCUUAGGAACAGAAAUCAAUUGAGAUUCCCCCAGUAGCGGCGAGCGACCGGGGAUCAGCCUGCAAGUAAUAGCUUUAGUGUUAGUGGAACGGUCUGGAAAGUCCGGCGAUAGAGGGUGAUAGCCCCGUACACGAAAACACUUUAGUGGUACUGAGCUUGCGACAAGUAGGUCGGGACACGUGUUAUCUUGACUGAAGAUGGGGGGACCAUCCUCCAAGGCUAAAUACUACUGACUGACCGAUAGUGAACCAGUACCGUGAGGGAAAGGCGAAAAGAACCCCGGAGAGGGGAGUGAAAUAGAACCUGAAACCGUAUACGUACAAGCAGUGGGAGCAGGCUUGUCCUGUGACUGCGUACCUUUUGUAUAAUGGGUCAGCGACUUAUUGUUUGUAGCAAGCUUAACCGUUUAGGGGAGGCGUAGGGAAACCGAGUCUUAAUAGGGCGAUUUAGUUGCAGGCAAUAGACCCGAAACCGGGCGAUCUAUCCAUGGGCAGGUUGAAGGUUAGGUAACACUGACUGGAGGACCGAACCCACUAACGUUGAAAAGUUAGGGGAUGACCUGUGGAUCGGAGUGAAAGGCUAAUCAAGCCCGGAGAUAGCUGGUUCUCCUCGAAAUCUAUUUAGGUAGAGCGUCGUGUCUUACCCUGGGGGGUAGAGCACUGUUUCGGCUAGGGGGUCAUCCCGACUUACCAACCCGAUGCAAACUCCGAAUACCCAGGAGUACAAUCACGGCAGACAGACGGCGGGUGCUAACGUCCGUCGUCGAGAGGGCAACAACCCAGACCGCCAGCUAAGGUCCCCAAUACCAGUUAAGUGGGAAACGAUGUGGGAAGGCUUAGACAGCUAGGAGGUUGGCUUAGAAGCAGCCACCCUUUAAAGAAAGCGUAAUAGCUCACUAGUCGAGUCGGCCUGCGCGGAAGAUGUAACGGGGCUAAACUGGUAACCGAAGCUGCGGAUGCGUGCUUGCACGCAUGGUAGAGGAGCGUUCUGUAAGCCGUUGAAGGUGAACCGGGAGGUUUGCUGGAGGUAUCAGAAGUGCGAAUGCUGACAUGAGUAACGAUAAGGGGGGUGAAAAACCUCCCCGCCGGAAGAUCAAGGUUUCCUGCGCAACGCUAAUCGGCGCAGGGUGAGUCGGCCCCUAAGGCGAGGCAGAAAUGCGUAGUCGAUGGGAAGCAGGUUAAUAUUCCUGCACUUCUUAUUAUUGCGAUGGGGGGACGGAGAAGGCUAAGCCAGCGCGGCGUUGGUUGUCCGCGUUUAAGGUUGUAGGCUGAGAUCUUAGGUAAAUCCGGGAUCUUAAGGCCGAGAGCUGAUGACGAGCUCAAGGGGAAACCCGCGAGUGAAGUGGUUGAUGCCAUGCUUCCAAGAAAAGCCUCUAAGCUUCAGAUAAUGAGGAACCGUACUGUAAACCGACACAGGUGAUCAGGUAGAGAAUACCAAGGCGCUUGAGAGAACUCGGGUGAAGGAACUAGGCAAAAUGGUACCGUAACUUCGGGAGAAGGUACGCCGGUUUUGGUGAUGGGACUUGCUCCCUAAGCUGAGGCUGGCCGAAGUGACCAGGUGGCUGCGACUGUUUAUUAAAAACAUAGCACUCUGCAAACACGUAAGUGGACGUAUAGGGUGUGACGCCUGCCCGGUGCCGGAAGGUUAAUUGAUGGGGUUAUCUUCGGAGAAGCUCUUGAUCGAAGCCCCGGUAAACGGCGGCCGUAACUAUAACGGUCCUAAGGUAGCGAAAUUCCUUGUCGGGUAAGUUCCGACCUGCACGAAUGGCGUAACGAUGGCCACACUGUCUCCACCCGAGACUCAGUGAAAUUGAAAUCGCUGUUAAGAUGCAGUGUACCCGCGGCUAGACGGAAAGACCCCGUGAACCUUUACUACAGCUUCACACUGGACUCUGACUUUACUUGUGUAGGAUAGCUGGGAGGCUUUGAAGCGAUGGCGCUAGCUGUCGUGGAGCCAACCUUGAAAUACCAGCCUGGUAACGUUGGGGUUCUAACUUAGGUCCGUUAUCCGGAUCGAGGACAGUGUGUGGUGGGUAGUUUGACUGGGGCGGUCUCCUCCCAAAGAGUAACGGAGGAGCACGAAGGUGCGCUAAUCAUGGUCGGAAAUCAUGAGGUUAGUGUAAAGGCACAAGCGCGCUUGACUGUGAGUCUGACAAGACGAACAGGUACGAAAGUAGGUCUUAGUGAUCCGGUGGUUCUGAAUGGAAGGGCCAUCGCUCAACGGAUAAAAGGUACUCCGGGGAUAACAGGCUGAUACCGCCCAAGAGUUCACAUCGACGGCGGUGUUUGGCACCUCGAUGUCGGCUCAUCACAUCCUGGGGCUGAAGCCGGUCCCAAGGGUAUGGCUGUUCGCCAUUUAAAGUGGUACGCGAGCUGGGUUUAGAACGUCGUGAGACAGUUCGGUCCCUAUCUGCCGUGGGCGUUGGAGAAUUGAGGGAAGCUGCUCCUAGUACGAGAGGACCGGAGUGGACGAACCUCUGGUGUUCGGGUUGUGUCGCCAGACGCAUUGCCCGGUAGCUACGUUCGGACAGGAUAACCGCUGAAAGCAUCUAAGCGGGAAGCCCCUCCCAAGAUAAGUUCUCCCUGACCCCUUGAGGGUCCUGAAGGGCCGUCCAAGACUAGGACGUUGAUAGGCUGGGUGUGGAAGCGUUGUAAGGCGUUGAGCUAACCAGUACUAAUUGCCCGUGAGGCUUGACCAUAUAAUCCA
rnacentral:rRNA from 1 species